AGAAUUUGGGUUGAGAAACACCCAAAAGAUAGUGGCCCAAUACAUGUGCCUAAGAAAAUCUUCAUGAGCCGAUAAACAUAGUCACAAAACUAGUAACAGCCUUGUAGCCAUAGUUGGUGUAGUAUGAGCAAGUGGGGUAUGAAGUAGGUAGGUGAGUAUUGCAAUGAAAUUUCCAGCACUGCUUCCUGAAUUAAGAAAUCACAUACCCAAGUCUUAGUCGUCGUCGUCGUCGUACCGUGUGAGAACCGGGAAGAAUCUUUGCUCGUAGACUGGCUUUUGUAGUCUUUCUUUAACAAUUACAAGUUAUCUGAAUUCCCUUCAUCCUCCUAUAUAAUAUUGUUUUGGUCUUGUUCUUGUUGCAUUGUGGCUAGGCAUCUCCAUGGAAGGAAGGAGGAUGAAUCAAGUUCCUUUGUAUGAAUCAAUUUCUCUGCUCUUUUUUUUUUUCAAUCCUUGAAUCGAAUCAUUGCUUAGUUCUUGCUUUAAUUUCUCCAUUUUCUGUUGGGUCUUUGAUUGCAGGUUUAGCUCUGCAAGAGAACUGGGAAAUUUAAUUGUGACCUCCAAUCUAAUCGACUCUGCUUUGACUAAAAUUCUUGAGCUUCAAAGAGACCAAACAGCCUUGCUUUCCCCCGUUCAAUACAGAGUUUUUUUAUCCAUCUCCCAACUGCACAAUUGUAGCUUUUGUCUCUUCACCUGACUGCACUCAAAACCCUCUUCCUGGACAAGGAGAUUUAGUUCCCUCUCCUCUCUUUGACUUCCUCUGCACCGAAGAAUACAAGUCCGUCUCCAUUAACAGAGCUGCAUUAACCCUCUUUACCUCUCUCCACGAUCAUCUCUCUGGACUAAAAACUCAGGUCAAAAUAUGAUAGUUGUUUUUAUUUUCGUUUCCUUUUUGUUAACAAUUGUGAGACAUGAAACAGCUUGACCAUGAGAUCUCUCUCAUAGAGUCAAACUACCUGAAGAAGAAGAAGACGUUACACAUAUCCAUCUGCGUUGCAUCAUCGCAUUACCCAUUGAUCGGUUGUGAUUCAACUCUUAAUAGGAAGACAGUAGAACUGGUGUUGGUAUCUGUUUUUAGAUCAGCUUAUAUGUAUCUUGUUGCUAAAAAGGGAAUGUUUAGAAGUGAGAUUAAUGGGAUUAUUCUGACAUGGAUUUCAUAUGGUUACCUGUUUUGCAGUUGACUGUGAUUGAAGGUCAAUUAAUCAUCACUGGGCACUCCCUGGGAGGAGCCGUUGCUUCUCUCUUCACCUUAUGCCUGCUAGAUGAAAAUUUAUUAAAACCCAAAUGCCGCCCCUUUUGUAUCACCUUUGGUUCACCCCUCGUCGGCGGCUUUGGCCUCCAACACUCCAUAUGGAAUUCUUUCUUCCUGCAUGUAGUGUCUAACCAAGACCCAGUCCCCGGUCUCUUCCUCCCAUCUGGCAGAGGCAGAUCUACGCCCACAUCCUCCCAUUCACAAACUACCGGUUACAAGCCCUUUGGGACAUAUCUCUUGUGCUCUGAACUUGGUUGUGCUUGUUUUGACAACCCUGAUUUAAUUUUGGAAUUGCUGAAAGUCAUAUCAUCAGAGGUUGCCGGAGGAUUGCAGGAUGUUGAUUAUGGGGAGAUUUUAAGAAACCUCAAGGAGAGGGCAAUCUGCAAGGGACUUCCGCAGGUGGGUGAAAGGUUUGCAAAUCCAUUUUCAGCUGGGAUCAUCAUGGAACUUGAGACAAUUGGAUUUAAUCAAACAAAGGUAAACAGCUUUCUCCCAUCUAAUGAUGUUAUGGAACAUGGUUUACACCUCAUUAAAUACUGCAACAACUGCCCUAUUUAGAUUUACCUUCUUGUUCUUUGGGAUUUUCCAUAACUAGACUCAUUUUUUAAUUUCAUGGCAGCUGCUGCAGCAUAACAUUGAUAUCGAGACUGUGAUAAGCGCAAUGGAAGCGGAAGCAAGAAACCUAACCCAGAAAAAUAAAGCUUCCGAUGCCAAGAAACUGAAUGAAAUAAAAAUAGACAUGACCCGGCUAGAAUUGUAUAAGAAGAAUUCGAACAUGGGUUACUACGAUUGCUUCAAAAACCAGGGGUCUAAAAGGGACAUCCACGUUGAACAGUUUAGGGUAAACCUCACAGGGUACUGGGAAGGCAUGGUUGCACAAAUACAGAGGAAGCCUCAUAAGGAAGGAGCAACAUUUCGAACCCGUUGGCUCUAUGCAGGGACGGUUUAUAGAAGAAUGGUUGAACCACUGGACAUUGCUGCCUUCUACAGAGAGGGUAGAAAAGACUACAUGAAUAAAAGAUCUGCACAUUACAAGCUGUUGCAGGAAUGGUAUGAGGAAGAUGUGAAACCCCCCUCUAGAGAUAAGCUUGAUUCCAAGAAGCAAAAGGUGUCCAGUAUCCUAACUGAGGAUUCUUGCUUUUGGGCACAUGUGGAGGAGGCUAUCUUGUCAUGCGAAUUGCUCAAGAGUGAAAACUGUAAUCUUGAGGAGGGAAAAUCAUCAUGGGAUAAUCUGGUUAAGUUCGAGGAGUAUGUAAUGGAACAGAUUGACAACUAUGCAGUGUCCCCUGAGAUUUUCUUGGAGAAAAGCAGCUUCAUGAAAUGGAGGGGACUGUAUGAGGGCUACAUAGAUACUCGCAGUAAUUCCCAUAGCUCGCCAUUGAUCAGCUUUAUGAAGAAUCGUAGUUAUAGACAAUAUGGAUAGAGGGGUAAUCCAGUUUGUGUGUUGUGUGUAUUGUUUUGUGAGCAUUCAAUGGAUAGAACUAGAAAGAGUGUGACCUUUUCCUUUUUUUUUUCAGUUGCUGCCCAUAUUCUCAGCACUAUUUUCUUCCUUCUUUUCCUCAGUUUUUUUGUUAAGAAAUGAAUAUUAUGAUGUUGCCGGGAUGCACUUUCAUUUUUGUUCCAUUACAUUGUGUUUUAUUCAUAUCCUAAACAAAUAAAUGUAAACAAGAAAAUCAAAUGAGACUUCAAAGAGUCUGUUCCUUUUAAAGCAAGGGAAAAAAAGGACAUGUUUGUUUACUUCCACAGCUGGGUAGAUUCAACUCCACCAAAAUUGGCAACAACUUCCCAUUGAAAAAUUCCUUUUAAGCUUGAAUGACAUAAAACUAGAUAUGUUCCAGCUAGAAUGGUACAAGAAAGAAAUCAAAAGAUGAGCACAAUGGGUUAUUAUGACAGCUUUAGAAACCUGGGGUGUAAAAGAGACAUUAAAAUGGAACCGAGGGGAAGACAUUGUAGAACAAGUAAAGAGGAAGCCUCACCAGGAAGGGCAGCUUUGCAAACCCUCUGGCUCUGUACAGGAACGAAUUAUAGAAAGAUGGUUGAACCACUUGACAUUGCUGCCUACCACAGAGAGGGUGGAAGAAACUACAUAACCAAUGGAGGAUGUAAACAUUACACGCUAUUAGAGCAAUGAUGCAAUGAAGAGAAGGGGACUUUGUCUUCCAAUAAUUUAAGAAAAUAAAACCAAAUAAUGCCAGAAUUUGGGUUGAGAAACACCCAAAAGAUAGUGGCCCAAUAUGAAGUAGUCACAAAACUAGUAACAGCCUUGUGGCCAUAGUUGGUGUAGUAUGAGCAAGUGGGGUAUGAAGUAGGUAGGUGAGUAUUGCAAUGAAAUUUCCAGCACUGCUUCCUGAAUUAAGAAAUCACAUACUCAAGUCUUAAUCGUUGUCAUCAUACCGUGUGAGAACCGAGGAAGAAUCUUUGCUCUUAGACUGGAUUUUGUAGUCUUUCUUUAACAAUUACAAGUUAUCUGAAUUCCCUUCAUCCUCCUAUAUAAUAUUGUUUUUGGUCUUGUUCUUGUUGCAUUGUGGCUAGGCAUCUCCAUGGGAGGAAGGAGGAUGAAUCAAGUUCCUUUGUAUGAAUCAAUUUCUCUGCUCUUUUUUUUUUCAAUCCUUGAAUCGAAUCAUUGCUUAGUUCUUGCUUUAAUUUCUCCAUUUUCUGUUGGGUCUUUGAUUGCAGGUUUAGCUCUGCAAGAAAACUGGGAAAUUUAAUUGUGACCUCCAAUCUAAUCGACUCUGCUUUGACUAAAAUUCUUGAGCUUCAAAGAGACCAAACAGCCUUGCCUUCCCCCGUUCAAUACAGAGUUUUUUAUCCAUCUCCCAACUGCACAAUUGUAGCUUUUGUCUCUUCACCUGACUGCACUCAAAACCCUCUUCCUGGACAAGGAGAUUUAGUUCCCUCUCCUCUCUUUGACUUCCUCUGCACCGAAGAAUACAAGUCCGUCUCCAUUAACAGAGCUGCAUUAACCCUCUUUACCUCUCUCCACGAUCAUCUCUCUGGACUAAAAACUCAGGUCAAAAUAUGAUAGUUGUUUUUAUUUUCGUUUCCUUUUUGUUAACAAUUGGGAGACAUGAAACAGCUUGACCAUGAGAUCUCUCUCAUAGAGUCAAACUACCUGAAGAAGAAGAAGACGUUACACAUAUCCAUCUGCGCUGCAUCAUCGCAUUACCCAUUGAUCGGUUGUGAUUCAACUCUUAAUAGGAAGACAGUAGAACUGGUGUUGGUAUCUGUUUUUAGAUCAGCUUAUAUGUAUCUUGUUGCUAAAAAGGGAAUGUUUAGAAGUGAGAUUAAUGGGAUUAUUCUGACAUGGAUUUCAUAUGGUUACCUGUUUUGCAGUUGACUGUGAUUGAAGGUCGAUUAAUCAUUACUGGGUACUCGAUGGGAGGAUCCGUUGCUUCUCUCUUCACCUUAUGCCUGUUAGAAGUCAUCAAUUUAUCAAAACCCAAAUGCCGCCCCAUUUGUAUCACCUUUGGUUCACCCCUCAUAGGCGACUUUGGCCUCCAACACUCCAAUUGGAAUUCUUUCUUCUUGCAUGUAGUGUCCAACCAAGAUCUAGUCCCCGGACUCUUCCUCCCAUCCGACAGAUCUCCUCCCACAUCCUCCCAUUCACAAACUACUGGUUACAAGCCCUUUGGGACAUAUCUCUUGUGCUCUGAACUUGGUUGUGCUUGUUUUGACAACUCUGAUUUAAUUUUGGAAUUGCUGAAAGUCAUAUCAUCAGAGGUUGCCAGAGGAUUGCGGGAUGUUGAUUACAGGAAGAUUUUAAGAAACCUCAAGGAGAGGGCAAUCUGCAAGGGACUUCCGCAGGUGGGUGAAAGGUUUGCAAAUCCAUUUUCAGCUGGGAUCAUCAUGGAACUUGAGACGAUUGGAUUUAAUGAAACAAAGGUAAACAGCUUUCUCCCAUCUACUGAUGUUAUGGAACAUGGUUUACACAUCAUUAAAUACUGCAACAACUGCCCUAUUUAGAUUUAGGGCAAUGAUGAAAAUAUCAGUAAUCACGGAUAUAUCAGUAUUUCGAUUUUACGGAUAUAUCGGAUAUAUCGGAGAUAUAUCGGUAGAUAUUUUGAAAAAAAAUAUCGGCAAGCUUAAAAUUGUUAAAAACUCAUGAAAAUAUAAGAAAAUCUCAUAAUAAUAUAAUUAAAAGUAUAAUAGACAUUUUAAAGUUAUUUUAUUGAAAAUUUUGAUAUAUGUAUAACAUGAUUUAUCAUAUUUGAUAAUAAUAUCGUAUGCGUCGAUAAAAAUAUGAAUUUUAUAAGUGUACAUUUAUUAUUAAAUUACACCUAAUAUUAUGAUAUCUGAUUAUAAUAUGUCUAAUUUUAAAAUAUAUAUUAGUAUUAAAAUAUGAUCCAUUUAAUUCAAUUGUAUUAAACAAUAUAAAAUAAAUAAUGAUAUAUAUAUAUAUAUAUAUAAUUUUUUAAUAUUUAAUUAAUUAUUAAUGAUAUUAAAAACAUUAUGAAGAAAAUUAUAUAAUUUUUUAAUUUUUGGUAAUUAAUUAAAAGACUUUGCAUUUAAUUAUAAAUUAAUUAUAAUUAAUUUACUCUUUAAAAUAUUCUUAUAUUUUCUUUAUAUAAUGAAUUUAAGUAUAUAUAUAGUUGUUGCAUAUUAUAUAUUAAAGGACAACUUAGCCCAAGUGGUAAGCGAGUGAACCCCAAUGUGAGGCAUUGUAGCACGUGCACUGUAGCAUCACUGUAGCGACUCUGACUUUCGUUGACCCGCAUUGACUACACGAUAUAUCGGAGAAAAAUCACUGAUUUAUCGCCAAAUCACCAAUAAAUCGCCGAUUUCUCGCGAUAAAUACCAAAAUAUAGUGUCGAAACCCUUCGAUACACGAUUUUUCGGCGCAUUUUCUUACUUGGAUUUACCUUUUUGUUCUUUGGGAUCUUCCAUGACUCAUUUUUUAAUGCCAUUUUAUUUUCCUUUUUGUUUCUAAAUUUUUAAAAAAUCGUUUUCACUUCUUUUUUUUAAGAAAAUUUUGGCAAAUUUUGAAAAUAUAAUAUUAGUGUUUUCACUUCUUUCUUUUUUUUUUUUUUCUUUUUUUUUUUAAACUCAAUUUUCUAAAAAAUGAAAAUAGAAAAACAUUGUCUAAACAUGUUUGUAAACUUAAUUUUAUUUUUUUAUAAAUGAAAAAAAAAAUCUAAAUGAGUAAGGCUUUAUUAAUUUUAAUUUUUUUCUUUUCCUUAUAUUUUCUUAUUUUAUUCCAAAUUUUCUUGCAACCAAACAUAAUCUAAAUGUUUACAACUUUUAUUGUAAGGAAUGAAUGACACUACUUUGUGAACUUUUAUGAUAAUAUUUUGAAUCAUAAAUUGUGUUUUUUUUAGUAAUAUCAAUUUUAUUACCAAUGACUUAAUUGUUAAUAACAAAAUAUAAUAUUUAUAAAUAUUUUUAUUCUCAACAGGCUACAAUUUUUACUCUUGUGAUAAAAAAAAUUUUGUCAUAAAUUACACAUUAUGAUGAGUUUUUCUAUUUUCCUUAUCAGCCAAUUCAACAAAUAUCAUAUAUAUUGUAAUGGCUAACAAAUUUUCACAUAAAUUUUUUAUAAGAUAAAGUAGAAUGGAAUUAUUCAAUUUCAAAAAAAAAAAAAAUGGUACCUAAUGAAAAAGAUAAAAUAUAUAGAUCAUCUCGAAGAAAUCAGGAAAGAUAAAUGAUGAGACCAUAUAUAGGACCCUUGAUGGAGACUAUUUUAAUUGAAGUGGUGUGCUCCUUCCGACUCAGAACAUGUUCAGCAUUGCACACAAACUAACAUCGUCGAUCUUGAGUAUGAAAAAGGUGAUUAGAUUCCAAGGUUGUCGUUUGUCCCAACUCCUCAUAUUAGAGGUGAUGCUCAAGCUAACGUGCCUCGCAGUUGAGCCCCGGCCAAUCGGUCUAAUAUGCUUUUCCAAUGGUGAGUUUCACUGCCACCAUGUAUUACAUUAAUUCCGAUAGCGCACAAGUUGUGUUUGUGCUAUUGCUUUUUGCCCUCACAAACAUAUACACAAGAGACAUUCAGACCAGAUCUGUUCUACCAUCCUCUAGGAAAGCAUUGUAGGUCAUUUGAAAUUGGGAUUUCAGCACCAGAGUCAAAUUGCCUUCCUUCCUGAAAGAUGAGCAUUUUUUAUACUCUUACAUCGGCUUUUAUGGAAAUGAAAUCAGCUUCUCAUUCUGUUACAUUUUUCAAUUUUGCUGCCUAUAACUGCUCACUGCCUGUUUGUGAGACAUUAUCCAGAUUUUCCCUGAUCAAUUAUAGAGAGGUCAUUGGACUCAUCCAUGAUUGGAAUUUCCUGUUAUCAUUAUUUGCAAAUCAUCAACCAUUUGUCAUGAUAUCUUAAGUUAAGCUGAGCACGAAUUUCAGCUAAGAUCCUCAGAACUAGAAAUAUGCACUGCAGGUAUUACUUGAUAUGUGAAUAUCCAAUACAAUAUUUUUUUACUAAGAGGAAUACGAAUUUGAAACACUUUCCAAUAAUUUAUCAAGUCAUAUUUUCGUGCUGUCGUGAUACAUGUGUCUACUGUAUGCAUGGCUUUUCUUUUCUACACAUGCCUUUAUCUUUGCACAUGACUCUUUUGAUACACGCCAGCAUCAAGGCAAUUGCCUAAAUCUAAAUCACAUCCUUUGUGUCACGUCUUCCUUGUUACCACGGUCCUCUUGUACACCAUGGUCCCUUAAUGUAACUUGUGCCACAAGCCCUUUGUGCAUGAAUUCAAAUUGUUCAAUCAUUUCGCCAUUUACACCUUUUAAGGUCCAAUAAGCGUAUACAAGAGACUACACUCAUUCUAGAUGAUAAAGUACAUUCAACUAACUACUCUUGCUAAUGAGCAUAUCCAAGUCAAUACAUAAGAUUAAUUAUUACAUAUGGUAAUUGAAACCCUGUUUAAAUAAAUAGUGACACAAAUAUAAAAAAUAUAUAUAUUUAAAAAUAAAUAAAUAACAAUUUAGAGAAUUUCAUAACUUAGUAUCAAACCUAUUGUAGGAAAGAGUAUUAUACAAUGUAGGGUUUAGGAUCAAAGUUAACCUAAGAUCAAUUUUAAGUUUUAAGACCAAUUCAAAUUCAAAACUAAGGUUUUAAGUUUCAAAAAUAUAUCUCUUAAACCAAUUAAAUAGAAAAAAGAAAAUUACAAAGAAAAUUUCUUCCUCAUCGGUUUCUUUUAUCUUGAAAACUAAAGGAAAUAUAUAUCAAUAUUUGAGAUGGAAAUUCAUAAUCUUAGAAACACAAAGAACAAAGAGAGUAUGAAGAGACCAUACCAUGAGAGAUUUUCCAAAAGGUUGGUAAACCAUGGUAAUCACCUUUGAGUUUUGCUGAGAAAAACAAACCUUAAUUUUUAUUUUUAUUUUUUUAUCAUUUUUUCUCUUGUGGUGUACAUUUAAGAAAAACAAAUCUUAAAAAAAAAAAAAAAAAAACCAAAUAAUGCCAGAAUUUGGGUUGAGAAACACCCAAAAGAUAGUGGCCCAAUACAUGUGCCUAAGAAAAUCUUCAUGAGCCGAUAAACAUAGUCACAAAACUAGUAACAGCCUUGUAGCCAUAGUUGGUGUAGUAUGAGCAAGUGGGGUAUGAAGUAGGUAGGUGAGUAUUGCAAUGAAAUUUCCAGCACUGCUUCCUGAAUUAAGAAAUCACAUACCCAAGUCUUAGUCGUCGUCGUCGUACCGUGUGAGAACCGGGAAGAAUCUUUGCUCGUAGAGUGGCUUUUGUAGUCUUUCUUUAACAAUUACAAGUUAUCUGAAUUCCCUUCAUCCUCCUAUAUAAUAUUGUUUUUGGUCUUGUUCUUGUUGCAUUGUGGCUAGGCAUCUCCAUGGAAGGAAGGAGGAUGAAUCAAGUUCCUUUGUAUGAAUCAAUUUCUCUGCUCUUUUUCUUUUCAAUCCGUGAAUCGAAUCAUUGCUUAGUUCUUGCUUUAAUUUCUCCAUUUUCUGUUGGGUCUUUGACUGCAGGUUUAGCUCUGCAAGAGAACUGGGAAAUUUAAUGGUGACCUCCAAUCUAAUCGACUCUGCUUUGACUAAAAUUCUUGAGCUUCAAAGAGACCAAACAGCCUUGCUUUCCUCCGUUCAAUACAGAGUUUUUUAUCCAUCUCCCAAGUGCACAAUUGUAGCUUUUGUCUCUUCACCUGACUGCACUCAAAACCCUCUUCCUGGACAAGGAGAUUUAGUUCCGUCUCCUCUCUUUGACUUCCUCUGCACCGAAGAAUACAAGUCCGUCUCCAUUAACAGAGCUGCAUUAACCCUCUUUACCUCUUUCCACGAUCAUCUCUCUGGACUAAAAACUCAGGUCAAAAUAUGAUAGUUGUUUUUAUUUUCGUUUCCUUUUUGUUAACAAUUGUGAGACAUGAAACAGCUUGACCAUGAGAUCUCUCUCAUAGAGUCAAACUACCUGAAGAAGAAGAAGACGUUACACAUAUCCAUCUGCGUUGCAUCAUCGCAUUACCCAUUGAUCGGUUGUGAUUCAACUCUUAAUAGGAAGACAGUAGAACUGGUGUUGGUAUCUGUUUUUAGAUCAGCUUAUAUGUAUCUUGUUUCUAAAAAAGGUAAGUUUAGAAGUGAGAUUAAUGGGAUUAUUCUGACAUGGAUUCCAUAUGGUUACCUGUUUUGCAGUUGACUCAGAUUGAAGGUCAAUUAAUCAUCACUGGGCACUCCCUGGGAGGAUCCGUUGCUUCUCUCUUCACCUUAUGCCUGCUAGAUGGAAAUUUAUUAAAACCCAACUGCCGCCCCUUUUGUAUCACCUUUGGUUCACCCCUCAUCGGCGGCUUUGGCCUCCAACACUCCAUAUGGAAUUCUUUCUUCCUGCAUGUAGUGUCUAACCAAGACCCAGUCCCCGGUCUCUUCCUCCCAUCUGGCAGAGGCAGAUCUACGCCCACAUCCUCCCAUUCACAAACUACCGGUUACAAGCCCUUUGGGACAUAUCUCUUGUGCUCUGAACUUGGUUGUGCUUGUUUGGAAAAGCCUGAUUUAAUUUUGGGAUUGCUGAAAGUCAGAUCAUCCGAGGUUGCCGGAGGAUUGCAGGAUGUUGAUUAUGGGGAGAUUUUAAGAAACCUCAAGGAGAGGGCAAUCUGCAAGGGACUUCAGCAGGUGGGUGAAAGGUUUGCAGAUCCUUUUACAGCUGGGAUCAUCAUGGACCUUGAGAUAAUUGGAUUUGAUCAAACAAAGGUAAACAGCUAGCUUUCUCCCAUCUAAUGAUGUUAUGAAACAUGGUUUACACUUCACCAAAUACUGCAACAACUGCCCUAUUUAGAUUUGCCGUCUUGUUCUUUGGGAUCUUCCAUAACUAGACUCAUUUUUUAAUUUCAUGGCAGCUGCUGCAGCAUAACAUUGAUAUCGAGACUGUGAUAAGCACAAUGGAAGAGGAAGCCAGAAACCCAACCAAAAAAAAUAAAGCUUUCGAUGCCAAGAUUCUGAAUCACAAAAAAAAAGACAUGGCCGGGCUAGAAUGGUAUAAGAAGAAAUCAAAAGAUCUGAACAAGGGUUACUACGACUGCUUCAAAAACCAGGGGUCAAAAAGGGACAUUAAAAUUGAACAGUAUGGGGGACACCUCACAUUAUACUGGAAAGACAUGGUUGCACAAGUACAGAGGAAGCCCCAGAAGGAAGGAGCAACAUUUCGAACCCGUUGGCUCUAUGCAGGGACGGUUUAUAGAAGAAUGGUUGAACCACUGGACAUUGCUGCCUUCUACGUAGAGGGUGGAACAGACUACAUGAAGAAUGAAAGAUCUCUUCAUUACAAGCUGUUGCAGCAAUGGUAUGAGGAAGAUGUGAAACCCCCCUCUAAGGAUAAGCUUGAUUCCAAGAAGCAAAAGGUGUCUGGUAUCCUAACUGAGGAUUCUUGCUUUUGGGCACAUGUGGAGGAGGCUAUCUUGUCAUGCGAAUUGCUUAAGAGUGAAAACUGUACUCUUGAGCAGGAAAAAUCAUCAUGGGAUAAUCUGGUUAAGUUCGAGGAGUAUGUAAUGGAACAGAUUAACAACUAUGCAGUGUCCCCUGAGAUUUUCUUGGGGGAAAGCAGCUUCAUGAAAUGGUGGGGACUGUAUGAGGGCUACAUAUAUGCUCGCAGUAAUUCCCAUAGGUCACCAUUGAUCAGCUUUAUGAAGAACGGUAGUUAUACAGAGUAUCGUUAGAGGGGUAAUCCAGUUUGUGUGUUGUGUGUAUUGUUUUGUGAGCAUUCAAUGGAUAGAACUAGAAAGAGUGUGACCUUUUUCCUUUUUUUCUUCUAGUUGCUGCCCAUAUUCUCAGCACUAUUUUCUUCCUUCUUUUCCUCAGUUUUUUCUUAAGAAAUGAAUAUUAUGAUGUUGCUGGGAUGCACUUUCAUUUUUGUUCCAUUACAUUGUGUUUUAUUCAUAUCCUAAACAAAUAAAUGUAAACAAGAAAAUCAAAUAAGACUUCAAAGAGUCUGUUCCUUUUAAAGCAAGGGAAAAAAAGGACAUGUUUGUUUACUUCCACAGCUGGGUAGAUUCAACUCCACCAAAAUUGGCAACAACUUCCCAUUGAAAAAUUCCUUCUAAGCUUGAAUGACAUAAAACUAGAUAUGUUCCAGCUAGAAUGGUACAAAAAAGAAAUCAAAAGAUGAGCACAAUGGGUUAUUAUGACAGCUUUAGAAACCAUCUUACAACACAUCCAUCAGAAUUUAGACUAUUCAUAGAAACAUUCUUAACAUGUAAAUCUACUAUUGCCAUGCACGUCAACAUAGAAUUUCUAAAAUGAUUGAAUAAAAUAAAUAAAACAAAAGAAACCCUUCCAAGAGAAUUUCAUAAUCUAAUGUCAAAUCUAUUACGAAGAUGAACAUGUAAAAUUUAAGGUUUAUAAUCAAAGUCGACUUGAAUCUGAGUUUUAAAACCAAUUUGCAGUUUUUAAGUUUGGAGACUAGAUCUCUUAAACCAAUUAAAUGUAAAAAACUAAAAAGAAAACUUCUUCAAAUUUUGAAAUGAGAAUGAGAAUGCAAUUCCUAACUAGUUUCUUCAUCAAAAAUCCCGAAAAAAAAAAAAAAAGAAGAGAGAGAGAGACCAUAGACGCCAGUGUUUGGGUUUAGAACCACCCAAGAGAGAGUAGUCCAAUAUAUGGGCUUAAGAAAAUCCUCAUGGGCCUAAGCUAAGACUAGGAACAAUCUUGUAUCCGUGGUUGGUUUAGUAUGAGCAUGUGUACUGCGAAGGAAGUAGCUGAGAAUUGCAAUGGAAUUUCCAGUACUGCUUCCUGAACGAACAAAUCGCAUACCCAAGAUUUGGUCGUCAACGCCAUGCUGGGUGAGAACCGGGGAAGCAUCUUCGCUCGUUGACGAGCUUUUGUAGUCCUUCUUUAACAAUUAUAAGGCAUCUGAAUUCCCUUCAUCCUCCCACACCAUUGUUUUUGGUCUUGUUCUUGUUGCUUUGUGACUACGCAUCUCCAUGGAAGGAAGGAGGAUGAACCAAGUUCCUUUGUAUGCAUCAAUUUUACUGUUUUUUUUUUCCUUUUUAAUCUUUGGAUCGAAUCAUUGCUUAGUUCUUGCUUAAUUUCUCCAUUUUAUGUUGGGUCUUUGAUUGCAGGUUUAGCUCUGCGCGAGAACUGGGAAAUUUAAUUGUGACCUCCAAUCUAAUCGACUCUGCUUUGACUAAAAUUCUUGAGCUUCAAAGAGACCAAACAGCCUUGCCUUCCCCCGUUCAAUACAGAGUUUUUUAUCCAUCUCCCAAGUGCACAAUUGUAGCUUUUGUCUCUUCACCUGACUGCACUCAAAACCCUCUUCCUGGACAAGGAGAUUUAGUUCCCUCUCCUCUCUUUGACUUCCUCUGCACCGAAGAAUACCCUUCCGUCUCCAUUAACGGAGCCGCAUUAACCCUCUUUACCUCUCUCUACGAUCAUCUCUCUGGACUAAUAGAUGAGGUCAAAAUCUGAUACUUGUUUUAAUUUACGUUAACUUUUCGUUAACAAUUGUGAGACACGUAUAUAUAUAUAUAUAUAUAUAUAUCUUGUGGAUAAAAGGAAAGUUUACAAGUGAGAAUAGUGGCAUUUUUCUGACAGAUUUCACACCGUUGCUUGUUUUGCACUUGACUGUGAUUGAAGGUCGAUUAAUCAUCACUGGGCACUCGAUGGGAGGAUCCGUUGCUUCUCUCUUCACCUUAUGCCUGCUAGAAGUCAUUAAUAUAUCAAAACCCAAAUGCCGCCCCAUUUGCAUCACAUUUGGUUCACCCCUCAUAGGCGACUUUGGCUUCCAACACUCCAAUUGGAAUUCUUUCUUCUUGCAUGUAGUGUCCAACCAAGAUCUAGUCCCCGGACUCUUCCUCCCAUCCGGCAGAUCUCCUCCCACAUCCUCCCAUUCACAAACUACUGGUUACAAGCCCUUUGGGACAUAUCUCUUGUGCUCUGAACUUGGUUGUGCUUGUUUUGACAACCCUGAUUUAAUUUUGGAAUUGCUGAAAGUCAUAUCAUCAGAGGUUGCCGGAGGAUUGCGGGAUGUUGAUUACAGGAAGAUUUUAAUAAACCUCAAGGAGAGGGCAAUCUUCAAGGGACUUCAGCAGGUGGGUGAAAGGUUUGCAGAUCCCUUGUCAGCUGGGAUCAUCAUGGACCUUGAGAUAAUUGGAUUUGAUCAAACAAAGGUAAACAGCUUUCUCCCAAUUAAUGAUGUAGCAUGGUUUACACUCAACUUCACCAAAACCUGCAACAACUGCCCUAUUUAGAUUUGCCUUCCGGUUCUUUGGGUUCUUCUAUAACUUCUCAUUUUUUAAAUCCAUGGCAGCUGUUGCGGCACAACAUUGAUAUCAACACUGUGAUAAGGAUACUGGGAGCGGAAGCCAGAAUCCUAGCCCACAAAAAUAAAGCUUCUGAUGCCAAGAAACUGAAUGACAUAAAAAUACACAUGGCCCAGCUAGAAUGGUAUAAGAAGAAAUCAAAAGAUCUGAACAAGGGUUACUACGACUGCUUCAAAAACCAGGGGUUAAAAAGGGACAUUAAAAUUGAACAGUAUAGGGGACACCUCACAAUAUACUGGAAAGACAUGGUUGCACAAGUACAGAGGAAGCCCCAGAAGGAAGGAGCAUCAUUUCGAACCAGUUGGCUCUAUCCAGGGACAACUUAUAGAAGAAUGGUUGAACCACUGGACAUUGCUGCCUUCUACAGAGAGGGUAGAACAGACUACAUAAACAAUGGAAGAUCUCCUCAUUACAAGCUGUUGCAGCAAUGGUAUGAGGAAGAUGUGAAGCCCCCAUCCAGAGAUAAGCUCGAUUCCAAGAAACUAAAGGUGUCUGGUAUCCUAACUGAGGAUUCUUUGUUUUGGGCACAUGUGGAGGAGGCUCUCUUGUCAUGCGAAUCGCUCAAGAGUGCAAACUCUACUCUUGAGCAGAGAAAAUCAUCAUGGGAUAAUCUGGUUAAGUUUGGGGAGUAUGUAAUGGAACAGAUUGGAAACUAUGCAGUGUCCCCUGAGAUUUUCUUGGGGGAAAGCAGCUUCAUGAAAUGGUGGGGAGUGUAUGAGGACUACAUAGAUGCUUCCAAUAAUUUCUAUGGGUCACCAUUGAUCAACUUUAUGAAGGACCGUAGUUAUAGACUGUAUGGUUAGAGGGCAAUCCAGUUUGUGUAUUGUGUUUAUUGUAUUGUGAGCAUUCAAUAGAUAAAACUAGAAAGAGCGUGACCUUUUUAUGACAACUUUAGAAACCAGGGGUUAAAAGAGACAUUACAAAUUGAAUUUUUUGAGAGGAAACCUCAAGAGUAUACUGGGAAGCCAUGGUGGAACAAGUAGAGAGGAAGCUUCGGAAGGAAGGAUCAAUGGUUGAACCACUUGACAUUGUUGCCUACUUCAGGGAGGGUGUAAGAAACAACAUAACCGAGGGAAGAUCUGAACAUUAAACAUUGUACAAUUAUUGUAAAUGUCUUAUACAUUACGUGUGAAAAUACCAAAAAAAAUUAUAUUCAACAUUUAUGUUUGUAUACAAGCAAUAUUUUGGAUAGUUUGAUAUAAAAAACAAAUGAAGAAAACGAAGAAAAACAUACAAAUAUAUUUACAAUGGACAAACUUAUACAAUUAGUGUAAAUGUCUUGUAUAUUUAGUACAAAAGUCUCGUACUUUGUAAAAAUAUAAAAAUAUAGUAUUUGACUUUUAUAUAUGUGUGAAAAUGUAAAAGGAAAAAGAAAAAUAGUUAGAGCAUUUGGUACCGUGAGUGAUGACUUCACCUAAAGAAAGGUUAAUGAAUAUUAUGGUCUCGAUGGAAGAGCGACUCCGGUAAAAUAUAUGGAUUAAAUUGAUGCUUUUCUUUUGACGAUGAAGUAGUUGAGUUAUGAAUACGAGGUUUUGCUAACAACAUUGAAGGCAAGGAUUCCCUAAUAUACUCCAAUUCAUAUUCAAUUUGUAGACCUUCAACUAACUACUCUUGCUAAUGAGCAUAUCCAAGUGAAUACAUAAGAUUAAUUAUUACAUAUGAUAAUUGAAACCCUGUUUAAAUAAAUAGUGACACAAAUAUAAAAAAUAUAUAUAUUUAAAAAUAAAUAAAUAAUAAUUUAGAGAAUUUCAUAACUUAGCAUCAAACCUAUUGUAGGAAAGAGUAUUAUACAAUGUAGGGUUUAGGAUCAAAGUUAACCUAAGAUCAAAUUUAAGUCUUAAGACCAAUUCACAUUCAAAACUAAGGUUUUAAAUUUCAAAAAUAUAUCUCUUAAACCAAUUAAAUGGAAAAAAGAAAAUUACAAAGAAAAUUUCUUCCUCAUCGGUUUCUUUUAUCUUGAAAACUAAAGGAAAUAUAUAUCAAUAUUUGAGAUGGAAAUUCAUAAUCUUAGAAACACAAAGAACAAAGAGAGUAUGAAGAGACCAUACCAUGAGAGAUUUUCCAAAAGGUUGGUAAACCAUGGUAAUCACCUUUGAGUUUUGCUGAGAAAAACAAACCUUAAUUUUUAUUUUUAUUUUUUUAUCAUUUUUUCUCUUGUGGUGUACAUUUAAGAAAAACAAAUCUUAAAAAAAAAAAAAAAAAAACCAAAUAAUGCCAGAAUUUGGGUUGAGAAACACCCAAAAGAUAGUGGCCCAAUACAUGUGCCUAAGAAAAUCUUCAUGAGCCGAUAAACAUAGUCACAAAACUAGGAACAGCCUUGUAGCCAUAGUUGGUGUAGUAUGAGCAAGUGGGGUAUGAAGUAGGUAGGUGAGUAUUGCAAUGAAAUUUCCAGCACUGCUUCCUGAAUUAAGAAAUCACAUACUCAAGUCUUAAUCGUUGUCAUCAUACCGUGUGAGAACCGAGGAAGAAUCUUUGCUCUUAGACUGGAUUUUGUAGUCUUUCUUUAACAAUUACAAGUUAUCUGAAUUCCCUUCAUCCUCCUAUAUAAUAUUGUUUUUGGUCUUGUUCUUGUUGCAUUGUGGCUAGGCAUCUCCAUGGGAGGAAGGAGGAUGAAUCAAGUUCCUUUGUAUGAAUCAAUUUCUCUGCUCUUUUUUUUUUCAAUCCUUGAAUCGAAUCAUUGCUUAGUUCUUGCUUUAAUUUCUCCAUUUUCUGUUGGGUCUUUGAUUGCAGGUUUAGCUCUGCAAGAAAACUGGGAAAUUUAAUUGUGACCUCCAAUCUAAUCGACUCUGCUUUGACUAAAAUUCUUGAGCUUCAAAGAGACCAAACAGCCUUGCCUUCCCCCGUUCAAUACAGAGUUUUUUAUCCAUCUCCCAAGUGCACAAUUGUAGCUUUUGUCUCUUCACCUGACUGCACUCAAAACCCUCUUCCUGGACAAGGAGAUUUAGUUCCCUCUCCUCUCUUUGACUUCCUCUGCACCGAAGAAUACAAGUCCGUCUCCAUUAACAGAGCUGCAUUAACCCUCUUUACCUCUCUCCACGAUCAUCUCUCUGGACUAAAAACUCAGGUCAAAAUAUGAUAGUUGUUUUUAUUUUCGUUUCCUUUUUGUUAACAAUUGUGAGACAUGAAACAGCUUGACCAUGAGAUCUCUCUCAUAGAGUCAAACUACCUGAAGAAGAAGAAGACGUUACACAUAUCCAUCUGCGCUGCAUCAUCGCAUUACCCAUUGAUCGGUUGUGAUUCAACUCUUAAUAGGAAGACAGUAGAACUGGUGUUGGUAUCUGUUUUUAGAUCAGCUUAUAUGUAUCUUGUUGCUAAAAAGGGAAAGUUUAGAAGUGAGAUUAAUGGGAUUAUUCUGACAUGGAUUUCAUAUGGUUACCUGUUUUGCAGUUGACUGUGAUUGAAGGU
rnacentral:lncRNA from 1 species